UACGGAGGGGGCUAGCGUUGUUCGGAAUUACUGGGCGUAAAGCGCACGUAGGCGGCUUUGUAAGUUAGAGGUGAAAGCCCGGGGCUCAACUCCGGAAAUUGCCUUUAAGACUGCAUCGCUAGAAUUGUGGAGGGGUAAGUGGAAUUCCGAGUGUAGAGGUGAAAUUCGUAGAUAUUCGGAAGAACACCAGUGGCGAAGGCGACUUACUGGACACAUAUUGACGCUGAGGUGCGAAAGCGUGGGGAGCAAACAGG
rnacentral:rRNA from 1 species